GGCGUGGUAGUGUAGUGGUCAACACGUCGGUUCCCCAGAACGGGCUCCAGACGAGCACCUGACGAGGUUACUAUCAAGUAAACCACGUUAGAAGUGUGUUUGAGUCGAAGAGUAUUGCUGAGAAUCCGAAGGCACGAGUUCGAAUCUUGUCCGCGCCA